UGGGGAAUAUUGCACAAUGGACGGAAGUCUGAUGCAGCAACGCCGCGUGCGGGAUGACGGCCUUCGGGUUGUAAACCGCUUUUUCUCAUGACGAAGUUUUUUGACGAUAGUGGGGGAAGAAGCACCGGCUAACUACGUGCCAGCAGCCGCGGUGAUACGUAGGGUGCGAGCGUUGUCCGGAAUUAUUGGGCGUAAAGAGCUUGUAGGCGGUUUGUCGCGUCGAUAGUGCAAACUCAGUGCUUAACGCUGAGCCUGCUGUUGAUACGGGCAGACUAGAGGAAGGUAGGGGAGAAUGGAAUUCCCGGUGGGGCGGUGGAAUGCGCAGAUAUCGGGAGGAACACCGGUGGCGAAGGCGGUUCUCUGGGCCUUUCCUGACGCUGAGAAGCGAAAGCGUGGGGAGCGAACAGG
rnacentral:rRNA from 1 species